UACGAAGGGGGCUAGCGUUGUUCGGAUUUACUGGGCGUAAAGCGCACGUAGGCGGAUCGAUCAGUCAGGGGUGAAAUCCCAGAGCUCAACUCUGGAACUGCCUUUGAUACUGUCGAUCUGGAGUAUGGAAGAGGUGAGUGGAAUUCCGAGUGUAGAGGUGAAAUUCGUAGAUAUUCGGAGGAACACCAGUGGCGAAGGCGGCUCACUGGACACGUAUUGACGCUGAGGUGCGAAAGCGUGGGGAGCAAACAGG
rnacentral:rRNA from 1 species